CAGAGCCGCGGGAAUACAGAGGGUGCAAGCGUUAAUCGGAAUUACUGGGCGUAAAGCGCGCGUAGGUGGUUUGUUAAGUUGGAUGUGAAAGCCCCGGGCUCAACCUGGGAACUGCAUCCAAAACUGGCAAGCUAGAGUACGGUAGAGGGUGGUGGAAUUUCCUGUGUAGCGGUGAAAUGCGUAGAUAUAGGAAGGAACACCAGUGGCGAAGGCGACCACCUGGACUGAUACUGACACUGAGGUGCGAAAGCGUGGGGAGCAAACAGGAUUAGAUACCCCGGUAGUCCCUGUCUCUUAUACA
rnacentral:rRNA from 1 species